UACGUAGGGUGCAAGCGUUGUCCGGAAUUAUUGGGCGUAAAGAGCUUGUAGGCGGUUUGUCGCGUCUGCUGUGAAAUUUCGGGGCUCAACCCCGAACCUUGCAGUGGGUACGGGCAGACUAGAGUGUGGUAGGGGGAGACUGGAAUUCCUGGUGUAGCGGUGAAAUGCGCAGAUAUCAGGAGGAACACCGAUGGCGAAGGCAGGUCUCUGGGCCAUAACUGACGCUGAGAAGCGAAAGCAUGGGGAGCGAACAGG
rnacentral:rRNA from 1 species